GAUGCUGAUGCCAUUGAUAUAACCACCAUCAAAUUGGUGUCCUGCUUUAGGGGUGAGUGACAACAAAUGGUGCCUCUGUGAGGAGGGACUGAUGACAAUAAUGAUCUCUGGAGAGUGUGUCCCAGGAUAAACAAGAUCUUUCAAAAGCAACAUGAGUCUAUUAUCAAACAGGCUGAUGCAUGGUGCGUGAAAAGGGGAUGGUGAGUCCUAAUGCAGCCAGCAGAUGAGACAUCCCCCAUUCCUUGAGAUGGUAUGCAUCUAUGGCUACCAAUUGAUUUUGAUUAGAGAAUUUGAAGCUCUUGCUAAUUACAUGUAAAAUGAAUCUGGGGUAACUUGAGAAGAUCAUUCUUGGUGACAAGAGCAAAGGAUCAUUACACAGUGAUGCUUUCAAGGGGACAUGGAAGUUAUGAACUUUUUUCAGGAAGGUCUGAUUAUGUUUGUUUCUGGAUGAUGAUCCACACAAGAUAUUUUACUUUUAAUCAAUAAUUCCCUGUGGUUUUGACUCUUUUUUUCCCUACAGAUUUUAACACAGAGAAUUUGAACUUUAAUUGCAACUAGAUUAGUUUAAAGAAUUAAAUAGUGUUUACCUGACCUCACAAAUCCAUUCCUUAGCUGGUUUUGCUUCACUAAUAGAUUUGAAAUACUGUGGAUUUCAGUGAAGAAGUUAUCUAUUUAAUCUAUAUAUAUCUGUGUGCAUAAACAAAUUUACC